rnacentral:rRNA from 1 species
UACAGAGGGUGCGAGCGUUAAUCGGAAUUACUGGGCGUAAAGGGCGCGUAGGCGGUUAUGUAAGUUAGAUGUGAAAUCCCCGGGCUUAACCUGGGAACUGCAUUUAAUACUGUAUGACUAGAGUAGAAUAGAGGGAAGUGGAAUUUCCGGUGUAGCGGUGAAAUGCGUAGAUAUCGGAAAGAACACCAGUGGCGAAGGCGGCUUCCUGGAUUCAUACUGACGCUGAGGCGCGAAAGCGUGGGGAGCAAACAGG